CCCUUAGAUGUCCUGGGCUGCACGCGCGCUACACUGAUGUGUCCAGUAAGCACCUAACCUCUUCCGAAAGGAACGGGUAACCUUUGCAAAGCACAUCGUGAUGGGGAUAGAUUAUUGCAAUUAUUAGUCUUGAACGAGGAAUUCCUAGUAAGCACAAGUCAUCAGCUUGUGUUGAUUACGUCCCUGCCCUUUGUACACACCGCCCGUCGCUCCUACCGAUUGAAUGUUCCGGUGAGCUCUUCGGACUGCGCGGUCUGCAGUUUCAGCGUUCCGUGCGGAAAGUUGCGCAAACCUUAACAUUUAGAGGAAGGAGAAGUCGUAACA
rnacentral:rRNA from 1 species